AUUUCUAGUUAAGUGACAUUUCGUCUUCACAUCUAUAGUUGCAAAAUCAAUGUAAUCAGUCAUGUCAGGGCGAAAAUAGUUGAAAUGCACUGCCAAUUUUUCCAUGAAUCUUUUUCUCUUCCUCAUAGCUUGUGGUUGGGUUUCAUUGGUGCUUGCAUGAGUGGGUGGCAUAUGACAGCACAGGUCUCACUAAACCCUUUUCAUUAUCGCUCUCUGUCUCUCUCGGUGCAUUUCUUCUCUCUGAGCUCUUGUUCUGUUCUCUUCAGUCAUCAGGGAGAUAUUACAGGAUUUUCAGUAACACACAGAGCUGAUGUGGAUGUUUCUGCUCCUCAUCGAUUCACUUUUUACACUCAUCAGAAGAUUGUGGAGGGACGGUGAUAUGUGACAGAUCACAUGUGAGAAGAGAUAAAGGCAUUAAAUGAGAGAUGGGCAGCAGAGAGAAAGACUCAAAGUCUAAAGAAUCACUGAAGAUUAUUCGCAGAGACAGCAUGGAGCAAAAACCAAACAUGUUUCUGGAUAUAGACAGACUUGUAGAGUUUCAUUCAGAAUCAGAAACGGUCAGAGAUGAGGUCACUUCAGUACAUCUUCAGUACAUUCAGUUCAUCUUCAUCUUCAUCUUCAUCUGUCAUUCAGCAGUCAGUAAUGGAUCAGUAUGUCUCCCUCUGCUGGACACUUGCGUGUAGCACAAGAGGAGGAUUAAAGGGACAGUUAACCAAAAAAAAAAAAAAAAAGGAAAAUUCUGUCAUCAUUUACUCACCCUCAAGUUGCUCCAAACCUGAUAUUUUGAAGAACGCUGGUAAGAGAACAGUUUCUGGUACCCACUGACCUCCAUAAUAUGGAAAAAAAAAAAUACUAUGGCAGUCAAAGGCUACCAGCAAAUGUUUGGUUGCCAACAUUCUUCAGAAUACCUGCUUUUGUGUUCAACAGAAGACAGAAACUCAUACAGGUUUGGAAUAACGUGAGGGUGAGUAAAUGAUGAGAGAAUUGUUAUUUUCGGAGAACUGUCCCUGUAAGUCUUGUGUGUCGGUUCUGAGGGAAUGACAUCAUACAGUACAUGCGUGUAACACUGUAGAUGGUGUUAAACUCUCUGGAUUAUCUGUGCUGUUCUGAAGCUUUUCUGUCAUGGUGUUUGAUCUGAAAGUGGAGCUCAGAACACACUCCACCAGCAUUUCGCACCUUGUUUGAUUUUCUCCUGAUGUUACUUGUUUCAGAGCCUAGAGAAACUAAAGAUAUUUCUGACUGUUCACUGUAACAGCGCAACAGUUGAAUGCUGCUUUACUCCUUUUUUGUUUAUUUUUAGAUUUGUUUAUAACUUGUACAUAGUUAUUAUAAAAUAAAAACCUCUGUGAGGUGCAUUACAUCUAAUGGUGUGUGGAUUUAAUCACAUUUGAACAAUGAAUAAAAACAGUGCUGCAGGUACAAAAUA
ensembl:lncRNA